rnacentral:rRNA from 1 species
CCCUUGAGAGUGGCGAACGGGUGAGUAAUAUAUCGGAACGUGCCCAGUCGUGGGGGAUAACGUAGUGAAAAUUACGCUAAUACCGCAUACGAUCUAAGGAUGAAAGCGGGGGAUCGCAAGACCUCGCGCGACUGGAGCGGCCGAUAUCAGAUUAGGUAGUUGGUAGGGUAAAGGCCUACCAAGCCAACGAUCUGUAGCUGGUCUGAGAGGACGACCAGCCACACUGGAACUGAGACACGGUCCAGACUCCUACGGGAGGCAGCAGUGGGGAAUUUUGGACAAUGGGCGAAAGCCUGAUCCAGCCAUUCCGCGUGCAGGAUGAAGGCCCUCGGGUUGUAAACCACUUUUGUACGGAACGAAACGGUUCGCUUUAAUACAGUGGGCUAAUGACGGUACCGUAAGAAUAAGCACCGGCUAACUACGUGCCAGCAGCCGCGGUAAUACGUAGGGUGCGAGCGUUAAUCGGAAUUACUGGGCGUAAAGCGUGCGCAGGCGGUUAUAUAAGACAGUUGUGAAAUCCCCGGGCUCAACCUGGGAAUUGCAUCUGUGACUGUAUAGCUAGAGUACGGUAGAGGGGGAUGGAAUUCCGCGUGUAGCAGUGAAAUGCGUAGAUAUGCGGAGGAACACCGAUGGCGAAGGCAAUCCCCUGGACCUGU